GUCCUGUCUCAUCUGUCUGCCCUCACAAUUACUGGCCUGGGAGGGGCUAAGGUUUUAAAAAGGAUUUCCCUUCUUUGACUAAAAGUCAGUGACUUUCAGUGGUAAGUUCCCAGCUCAGACACUUGGCAGCUGGAUACUCUCUCUCUCUCUCUCCCCUUCUCUCCCUCCCUCUCUCUUACCUUCUUGCCCUUUCUCUCUCUCUCUCUUUCAAGGAGGAAUUAUACAGCAGCUGGGACCUUCUUACCAGGAACAUUCAGAUUGCUAGGUAAGCGCUAACUUUUUGUGGUUUUCUCUGCAUCUUGCAAUCUGGCUCUUCAGCUACAAUUUUUUUUUAAAAAAGUAUUUCAGCAUGUGUUGUGUGUCGUCUAGAAAUUGCUCCCCACGGCGGCAAAAUGUUCUUGGAUGGUGUUUGGUUUCAUAAUGAAGGGGAUUUGCGUCAUAAAUCUCAUUCACUUUCUUGAAAAAAUGUAAUUCAGAAGGCAGCUGGGGGAAAGUAUGGGGGAAUUCUUCUACUGGGGACCACGUUUAGGACUUGCUGCUGGUGCAGGCAGGAGUCUAUCACAGUCAUGGGGUCUUCCUUUGACCGUGGACUGGCGUAGUUGAGAACGGUGCCGGACACACCCGAAUUCCCCUUGAAGUGUUUCACUAGGGAGACAGAGAGAGAGAAAGAAAAAAAGAAAGAUGAAAGUUGGUUAAACUGCAUUCUUGCUCUUUAGAUCCUAACAGAAGCCCCUUCAGGAAGAAUGACUUUAGCAAGUGCUUCUACUUUCCUUUGCUAGGUGCGUACUUGAAUUUGCUUAACCCCACAGUGUCAAUUGCAAGUACAGCUGGUAUAGAACGAAGGCACCUGCCCCAUUUGUACAACAGGCCUUUCUGACCACUUCCAAGUGUGCUCUGGCUUUUGUAAGGCUGAAGUGCCUGUCCAGAGCAGGCAUGCAGGAGAAUGUUAGUCCUGCAGGAAGAUUCUGCCUGGGCGGAAAUCUGCAUUAAUAUGAUUAAUACGGUACAAUUUUCCCUUAACCCGCCGUGGCAAAAUACAGUGGGGGUUGAUGAGGAUGUUCCAGACACCGUUUGAGAGGACAGACCCUCUCCUGGAGCAUGCUAGUUCCCAGGCGCGCAUGGUGCUUGUCUCAGCGAUAAGCUCCUUUCCCGUGCGUAUGUGCAUGAGAUGUGAGGAAUUGUGGUAUGUUGAGAAAACUUCAUUCGGGUUGAAAUGUGUCCGGGCCGUAAAGAGACGGGGUAACACGUCCCCACACAAGCAGCAGGGUGGAGGUAAACAAUCCAACCUCCUUGGUGAAUCUGGCAAACAAAGACAAAAGAAAGAGAGAGACAUAACUUUGGCUGGGAAUGUAGAGUGGCUUCCCCCUCUGUUGAGUCUCCUUUGAGGUUGUAUAACCGCCCACAGCUAAGUUAUAUAAGGACAAUUGGAACAUGAUGAGGCAUCAGUUUUGGGUGGGGGCACUUCCUCGUCAGUGGUACCCUCAAAAUGGCACCAGUCACACACUCUGCCUGGCUCACACCCAUAGGGAGAAUGAUUCAUUCUUUCCUCGUAGAUUUACUUCUCAUUUUCCGCGUGAAAUUGCUUCUGCCGGGACGGAUGGUCCUUUGCAAAUUUCAGGGCCACUCCCUUUCAUAUUUUCCAUUCUUGAAGCCCAGACAUGCUUGUUGAUAGUAGACUUGUGGCACUGCUGGUGUGCCCGGGGACAGGCAGAGGAGUUUCACAGAACGGCGAGUUUAUAUCAACGCUUUUCUCCCUUUCGUUUUGGUCUGCAGCGAGUCACAUAUUGAGGAUCCCCCAACUUUUCACUAUUAAGGGUGGCCAAAGACAUUUGGUGCCUGGAGGGGAAAAUGCAAGCUUGAGCAAAAUCACUUCCAUCAGGCUUGCAUAGGGGAAAGUGUGCCCCAUUGGGAGACAGAUGUAUAUCAGAUCUUUCUGCCAUCCCCGCUUGCCUCAUUGAAAUACUACAUUUGUUCUGUUUAAGAUUAUUUCAUUACCUCUCUCUCUCUCUUAUUUAUAUAAAAGCUGCUAUAGCCUCCCUUUGCACAAACUCACUUUGGGGUAGAGAAGCUGUACUGGAGGGGAGGGCUGUUUAACCCUUUCCCUCUGGGCUAGCAUCCCUAGGAAAAUAUAUAUAUACAAGUACGUUUUAAACUUUGAGCUUUAAAACGAUGUCGGGACAUCCAUUCAUGGUUCUUACUGCGUCACAUGCAUUCUGGCCCUAAGCAUCUUGGGGAUGAUUCCUGCUCGGGUCACUUCUGCAAAUGUUCACUUCUUUCCCCUAAUCUGCACUCCUAGGGAGUCUAGCCUCGGUUUCAGAAGUAGAAGCUACAGGCAGGUUUGUUUCAAAUGGCUGGAUAUGGAGGAAAUCUAGGAUUCCCCUCCUAAAACAGGAAGAAAGGAAUAGGUGAAAUCCUACAAGCCCUUGUUGAAACUUGUGAGCAUGUCAGGAUGUGGGCAUGAUGUACUUUGAUGGAGGCUGAAGCAAGGAAGUGGAUUUUAGCAGUGGGGACGCUUGCCAUGCGGUCCCUUUUCCAAUUUAUCGGCCCUCCUCCCAUCACCACUGCUAAUCAAAUAACACAACAUUGUGACCGUCCGAAUCCUUGUCCUCUGAGCUGAAUGUGUUUAAUGUCUCUUGAGUUUUCCGAUCAUGGGGGAAUUAUUAAUGGACAAUAUGGGAAGGGCCUUCUCUUUUGCAAGAGGGUAAGGAGGCAGGCAUCAAGACAAAGGUCCCUUCCUCUCUCAAGGCACAACACUUUAUAAAAGGAGGAAAGGGGGGGGAAUAAGUGUUUGCCCUCUGGUUACCCAUUCCUUUUCUCUGUUAUUGAAGAAGAACUUCUCCAAGUGUGUUUGUGCUGUCUGCCUUGAUGCUUCCCAUGGUUAACAAGUGUAAAGUGUAGCACUAUUAUUCUUACUAUUGCCAACAAUUACUUACUUAUUGAUUCAUUCAUUCAUUUAUUUUCAAGUGCCCAUACCCAGAAGGCACUAUGCACAGUUCUUCUUUUUGCAUUUUAUAUAGUGUUAAACUCCAGUGCAAUGCUGUGGCAAACACGACACCCGUAUAAAUUCUAAAGCGGCAUCUCCUCAAAGUUUCAGGCUAGAGGAACAAUUGCUAGCCAAUGAAUGCAAGGCAGGGCUGCAAGCUUUGCUCAAGUUAAUUGGUAGCUUCCCCGUCAGCUAGAGCUUUCGUCAAUUAACUGGUGGAGGACAAUUUACAUUGGUGAGGGCAAAUUUUAAUUGGUGGGGCAAAGGAUUCUUGGCAAUUCCCCCCCCAAAAAAAACGCCCCACACUUAGCUUGGAGAAAUAAAUACAUUGCAAACUGUACAAAGAGAUGAAAAAUUACUAUAUAUAGGUUCGAAGUGGGGGGAAAUUACAGCAAUUAUAUUUAUAAUUACACCGUUCACAAUUUUAAACUGAUUAAAAGCAUUUUAGAACACAGUAAUGUUUUUUGAGGUUUUGAUUCUGGUGUAUUAAUGUAAUAGGGGGAUGAAAAGAAAAUAUUUGGUUUUUGUCUCGAUUACACUGUAAAUUAUGUCACAUUUCCUUCAAAAUCCCCAAAGGAAAAUUUUAUUAAAAUACAAAUUGAUUUGAAUUUACUGAAUCAAUUGGUUUUAAAAGACAAAUAAAUAUUCACCUACAAAUUCUUUUAAUGGCUGGACAGCCCCCAUAGAAGGGUACCUACCCCAUUGUCAUGAUGAAGGAUGCAAGUCCGGCCCCUGCAGCCUGCGGUUUGGAUUUGUGAGAGCCCCACAUGUGUGUAGAAGGAGGGAAGCUGGCAAAGGGCUUGCGUUUGCCACACCAAAUUGUUUCUGCUCUUGCGAACAGAAUUUUCACGUCCCACCCUGCUUCCUAACAUCAAAGUGUCGAAACAAGCAUAUACCUCGAGAACCCAGGCUGCGGCUGUUGGGGAAUCACCAUGAACGGGUGUGUUGCACACGGUGAACAGCUUGUGUGUGUGUUGUGGCGCUGCUGUUGUUGUUGAUGAUGUUUAAUUCCAAACACCAUGUGGAACCAAAGUCGGGACGGCAAUUCUGCCAUCUGUUUGAUGCCACCCUAAAUGCCUUAUAUCAGGGGUAGGCAACCUAAGGCCUGGGGGCCGGAUGCAGCCCAAUCGCCUUCUCAAUCCGGCCCGCGGAUGGUCCGGGAAUCAGCCUGUUUUUACAUGAGCAGAAUGUGUCCUUUUAUUUAAAAUGCAUCUCUGGGUUAUUUGUGGGGCCUGCCUGGUGUUUUUAUACGAGUAGAAUGUGUGCUUUUAUUUAAAAUGCAUCUCUGGGUUAUUGGUGGGGCAUAGGAAUUCGUUCAUUAUUUUUUUCCAAAAUAUAGUCCGCCCCCCCCACAUGGUCUGAGGGAUGGUGGACCGGCACACAGCUGAAAAAGGUUGCUGACCCCUGCCUUAUAUAGUAUUGAAUACUACCAAAAAAAUGGACUUGAGAAUAUGCCUUUCCUCCCAAUAAUUCCCCUUCCCUUUGCCCUGCUCCUAACUUCUCCGACAUAUCCCCUCGUCUCCUUGAUGCCUGGGAGGGGUUUGCAAGAUAAGCUAUUUGCUCUGGAAGCUUGGGUGUUACCUUGAGAUACCACAGCGACUGGCACCAUUAAUAAGAUAUAAGUCAGGGUACCAAGAUCAUUUGCCCGCGUUUGUCUGCAUUUCUUCCUCUGACCCUCUCCUCCGGCUAUGACCUUUCUCUGCAGUCCAUUAGAUGGGCCGUGUGUGUGUGUGUGUGUGUGUGUAGACUGCUUUUUGACACGGGUGCUUCAUAUUUCGAACCUGGGCCUCUCUGUGUGUUGCAGCCUGAAGGUGGAGAAAGGAACCCCUGCAUAGAACUUCAGAUCGUCUUUGAAAGUUGAUCCGGUAGGCUGACAGUCGGUGCUUUUAAUAUACCACUGCCCAGUUUAUAUGUCUUCCUUAUUGCUGAAAUCCCCAAAUUGGUCAGGCCAAUCAGAGAGGGGAAAUCAGGCAUUGGUGCAACAAAGAAGGAAGCUAGUGGAGGAGAACUGUAGAGGCGUAAUCCACGUAGUGCUCGAUGACUGUGGAGAAUCUUUCAAUGGCCAUGACAGAGACGGGCCAUUGCAGAGACGCCAGGAUUAACUGAGCAUUCACAGAUGCACAGGCCAGCUCCUGCAACUGGCUGGCCUUCGGUUGCAGAGGUAGUAGGCCCACAAUAGGCAAAAUGAGGUUUCAAAAUCAGGGCAGGCUGGGAGGCAGGUUUCAGUGGGAAAAUAAACCGCAGGGAAAAUUUCUUGCAAGCUCCAUAGAAGUAAACCGCGGCUGGGCAAGAGCACAGCCGUUCACUCCAGUGGGGCUUGGGGUGGAGAACUCUGCCGUGGUUUCUACCCCAUGGUCAGUUAAUGGGAAGGGUUUCCAUUUGGAUUCUUUUGUUCCAGGCACUUAAACGCUUUCGCUUGCCCUGUCCUUGUGCAUAUGAAGUGGCCUAGUGGUCUCUAUGCAGACCUUGGGUGUGGCAGAUCUGGUAUUUUCCACUGGCUUUGGCACUCAGCGAGAGCAUGAAUGAAUCACCACUGCCCUGCCUUCGAUGGCUGUUUUCCCCUCCCUACUUCCAGUUAAUUCCUGCUUUGCAUAAUAUCAUUGAGAAUGGGUGUUAUACAACACGCUAUAGAUGCAGACUUGCCCAUGUAAGGUUCACAGCCCAAGUGCUCAGGGUGGGCAAAAAUGAGCAGCGCCCCACCGAAGCCAUGCUCAAGCCUACAGCAGCGCCAGAGGUGUGGCUCUCCGUGUUGGCAUCCGUCUGUCUCAAGAGACAAUGGAGUGCGCCUCUGGAGGUGCAGUCAAACGGCUGUGUUAGCAGCACCAAAUUUAUGGAAAAUUUAUGUUGGUGGGUCCUCACCUCCUUCCCAAGUCAGUUUCAUCAAGACCCUCUCUCCCUAACACCCAUCAUUUUGUUAGCUAUGGUAGAGCAAAUUCCUUCCCUUUUCCACUUGUCAAUGACUGUAUCAGGUCCCUAUUCAGCCAAAAUCUGGGCGAAAUCUUUAAGGGAUCUUCAGGAGUCCAGGAAAGGGUGGGAAGAAUGGCGUGAAGACCUUUUUUGUGCUGAGCUCUGUGUCUUUGCUUACUGCUGUACAUUGCUGCUAGCACAGAUUUGUGGGGUGUUUUUUGGGGGGGUUGUAACAUAGCCGCCACCGUCUUAGCUGAUGUCUGCUUGUUGAAAAAUGAUGGAGGUUAUUGGAGUUUCGAAUCUGUUUUCAUUUUUGUGAAUUUUGUUUUAUUGUUGGUUUUAGUAAUACCAUUUUUUUAAAUGUACUUACGGUUUUUAUUGUUGUUAAGUCGCUUUGUGAGGCUUUCCUCGGAGCAGCGGCACAUAGAUAUUUUAAGAUAGAUGCAAAAUAAAAAUAAGCAAAGGGAAGCACAAAUCGUCGACUCGCUUGUACUUCAAGCGCUGCCGUGUCCCUUUUGGGCUUAUCGGGGAUUGUAACUUGAAGAGGGUGGUCGUCUCAUCUGCUUAAAAAUGUCUGUAAGUCCUUUUCAGGUUUCCCAUUCAUUCCUGCGUUUGCUGAUUGCCCAAGCGUGUGAACCCCCACCCCCCCAAAGCCGGACAUCUCACAGCCACCUACCAGGCUAUUAGAAAUACAGGGAAGUCCCAGAGACAGUUUGAGUAAAGAUUAGAAAAAUGCGGGAUGAACAAACAGCUCUCGUUUGAAAGAUCCCAAUUAGUGGUUCUGAGCAGCUCAGACGAUCAUGUGUUGCUGAUCUUGCAGCUGUUAGGGGUUUAGAAGGGGGUUGUAGGUUAUCAGUCGAGAGCAUGCUUUAUGUGCAGAACGCCCUAGGCUCAGCCCCCCACUGGCUCCAGCUAAAAGGAUAUCAGACAGCAAGGCUAGGAAAGACCCCCUAGAGAACAGCUGCCAGUCAGAACAGACAGUACUGGGUUUAAUGGCAUAAUGGCAUCUGUCCAUGUGCACAGGACCGGCCAGUUCUACUUAGUAUACAAAGCUGACUCUCUGCACUGAGCCCGGGCCCUUGGUUGUGAGUUUUAGUGCCCAGCUCUAGUAAACUGCACUCUCAGUUAGGGAUGUGGGCUGAAUAAUUUGCGCUUUCAAAAAACAACCACCCUUCUCUCGUCUCCAGAUUUUGCUGUGCAGUUCUUCAUCCAUGUAAUUCAUAAACUAGGGUAAAGUGUCCAUAAAAGAAAUCCACAUUAAAUGCUAAUGAAGUUUCACGAGGACCUUAAAAACAACAACUAACUAACUAACUCACAAGCUGAUUUGGAGGAAGGAAUUUCAGAUUGGAGAAGGGAGUAACGGAAUGAGAACUGACAGAUCCGUUCCUCCCUCUUCUCAAUUUCCCUCAAUCUGCUUUGGGGAUGAUUUAUGGCUUCCAGUCUCUUGCCCCCGCAUGCCUGGUGCUUCACUGGUUGCUAUGUCUCAAAUAAGGUCUGUCCUUACGGUUGCCAGACCCAAUUUCAGGUGGCUUUUCAAGAUUCAGAAUAGCACAGGAAAUUCAGAAAUGAAUCAUUCGAGACUUUCGGCCUUCUUUUUGAUCAUGUCAGUAGUUUUCUCUGCCUUGCCCUGUUUGUGAAAGAAGAACAUUAAAGAUAAUAUUUGAGAUAAACGUUAGCAAGAGGGACUUAGAGCAGGGUUCCAUCCUUUCUUCUUUUCAGUAAUGAGACUACUUCUGACUUGUGAAGAAAUGUCUGAAGACGUAAAACCCAAAAGCUUUAAGACACAUCC